ensembl:lncRNA
GUCUAGUUUGCCUGCAUCUUUUCCACUCCUUCCCUCAUUGCGGCUGCCUACUCUCGCCUGCAGUAGUAAAUGUGACGUCUCCUCGCAAAAGAUCAAACUUCCUGCGGCGACAGGAUGACAUCAGAGUACCGCGAGAGCGAUUCGAUAACCUUACGGAGAAGUCUAAUUUCGACUCGCUCUCGCAGUACUUUGACGUCAUCCGGCUGUCAGUUCUUGCGGCGCCGCAUGAAGUCGAACACACCUAGAGAGAUCGGAAGAUUGCUCCUUGGAUUUUAACGAAGGUCAAGGGUCAUAGCAAGCGCGAUCGCCCCAGUGCAUUCCAUGUUAGUGAAUGCUGACACGUGUACACGUGAACUUUGUUGCAGUCAGUGGUAAAUUAACAGCUUGUUUUCGUAAAAUUUAAAAGACAGUAUUACACAAUGAUUGCAAUCAAGGCUAUUUUGCAGUCAUAAUAAGGAUGCGUCAGGGGGGGUCUAUUGCUUAAAAAUGAUUACUUGUCGUUUUUGCAGCAAGACGCUAGAGACGUUGAGGGGUUAUGUGCUGCACUGUAGAGUUCAUAGAAACGAACCCCGCUGUUUUUUCAAAUGUCUUGGCACUAACUGCAAACGGACAUUUUGUAGUUAUGCAGCUUUUAAAGCUCAUUUCUAUCGGUAUCACAAUGAGUCUGCACCCGUUGUUACAGCUGCUGUUACAGAUUUAAAAUGUUCCAUUUCAUUGUGUGAUCGACAAUUUCACACAGUUAAGGAACUCGUAUGCCACUUAAAAGGGCAUAUAGUUGAGGGGCAAGCUUUGGCAUGUCCAGUAAAGGGUUGUAAAAAAACGUUCACUGUGAAAUCAACGUUUACUGCUCAUAUGUCCAGACAGCAUAGAUCAUGUUUGGUGGAUAGCAUAAGUGACACUUACAGAAAUAUUGUUUCUCAGUCUUCUGCUGUCAUUGCAUGUAAUGAUGUUUCCCAGACCUCAAAUGAUGAAACGAGUGACAAUGUUGAACUGCCACAGAAUUUUAAAGAGUCAUUUCUUAGGAAUGUUUGUUUACUUUACCUAAAAUUGCAAGGGCAGCUCCUCCUUCCAGCUUCAACAAUACAAACAAUUGUUGAAGAGAUGCAAAAUGUGCAUGAUCUAGGACAGGAUUACACUUUAAGUGAAAUACGGUCACUUUUACAAAAUGAUAUGUGUCUAACAGAGGAUAUUGUCACUAAAGUUUGUGAUUGUGUAAAAAAUUCAGAUUUGUUCUCUUUCUGUCAUCAGGGACCACUGAGAACAGCAUUUUCAAGAGCACAGACAUUCAAGCAAAUGUUCAAGUACAUAGAGCCUAAAAAGGUAAGCUUAGGAAAUGAUGAAAAUAUGACACAAAGGUUUGCAUACUACAUACCGGUAAAGCAAACAUUAAGUAGCUUACUGCAGUCAGAAUUCUGGAAGAAUUCAAUGUCACAAACGCCUUGUGCAACAGAAUCAGAUGUUUUCAGUGACAUAAGUGAUGGCAAAAGCUUAAAGUCCAACCAGUUUUUCACUGAAAACCCAGAAUGCCUGAAACUAAUUCUUUACCAGGAUGCUUUUGAAAUUGUCAAUCCCCUUGGCUCUGCUAAAAAAAAGCACAAAGUUUUAGCAGUUUAUCUAUCUGUGGCUAAUUUACCUGCUUAUCUGCGAUCCAAUACUGAUCACAUGUCCCUUGUCUUACUGUGUGUAGAGAAUGACUUAAAACAGUUUGGAUAUGCUAAAGUUUUCUCUGAGUUACUACAGGAUUUAAAAGAUUUGGAAGAAAACGGAAUAACUGUAGAUGGUAAAAUGAUCAAAGGAGGCUUGUUUUGUAUUGCCGGUGACAAUUUGGGUUCGCACAGCAUAGGGGGGUUUACAGAAAAUUUCAGUCGUUCUCAGUACUUUUGCAGGUACUGCGAAAUAACCCGAAAUGAGUUUCAAAAUGAUGACCCCAAUGUUUGUGGUCCACAGCGUACCCCUGACAGUUACGAUUCUGCUGUUUGUGAUCUACAAACUGAAGACAUUCAGGACUAUAAAGGCAUAAAGGUAAACUCAGAUUUUAAUACUCUAAAAUCUUUUCAUGUUUGCCAUCCUGCUCUCCCACCGUGUUUAGGCCAUGAUAUAUUUGAGGGUGUGUUAUCCUAUGAUGUUGCAUUGUACUUGAAGUAUUUCAUUAAACAAAAGCAAUGGUUUACAUAUUCAACUUUGAACCGGCGCAUCAAGCAGUUUAAGUACAAAGGAGCUGAUGCUCUCACAAAGCCAUGUGCUGUCAACUCUGGUCUGGCCAAGCUUUCAGGGCAAGCCAUCCAGAACUGGAAUUUUUUGAGAUUGCUUCCAGUGUUAAUAGGUGAAAAAGUGCAAAAUCCAGAAGAUGAUGUGUGGCAGUUAACUCUCCAGCUUAAAGAUGUUGUUGAUUUGAUUUGUGCACAGAAGAUUUCAUCAGCACAGGUAGCCUAUCUUGACAUUCUAAUCCAAGAAUAUUUGGAAUCAAGAAAGUCUUUAUUUCCUGAGAGUCCACUAAAACCUAAACACCACUUCUUGCGCCACUAUCCUGCACUAUUUUUACAAUUUGGCCCCCUGAUUAGACUGUGGACGAUGCGUUUUGAAAGUAAACACAGCUACUUUAAGAGAUGUGCUAGGCAUUUAAAAAACUUCAAAAACAUCUGCUUAACCCUAUCUGAAAGACAUCAAAUGUUUCAGGCAUAUCUUUUAGCUGGACCAGGAUGCAGUCAGCUUCUGCAAGUCAAAGACAGUUGCACAUUUUACCCCAGCCUUUACAGUGAUGCAAUUAAACAUGCAGUCAGAGAGUUUAGCUUUUCAGAAAUUAAUACUUGUG